rnacentral:rRNA from 1 species
GAUGAACGCUGGCGGCGUGCCUAAUACAUGCAAGUCGAGCGAACAGAUAAGGAGCUUGCUCCUUUGAAGUUAGCGGCGGACGGGUGAGUAACACGUGGGUAACCUACCUAUAAGACUGGGAUAACUUCGGGAAACCGGAGCUAAUACCGGAUAACAUUUAGAACCGCAUGGUUCUAAAGUGAAAGAUGGUUUUGCUAUCACUUAUAGAUGGACCCGCGCCGCAUUAGCUAGUUGGUAAGGUAACGGCUUACCAAGGCGACGAUACGUAGCCGACCUGAGAGGGUGAUCGGCCACACCGGAACUGAGACACGGUCCAGACUCCUACGGGAGGCAGCAGUAGGGAAUCUUCCGCAAUGGGCGAAAGCCUGACGGAGCAACGCCGCGUGAGUGAUGAAGGGUUUCGGCUCGUAAAACUCUGUUAUUAGGGAAGAACAAAUGUGUAAGUAACUGUGCACAUCUUGACGGUACCUAAUCAGAAAGCCACGGCUAACUACGUG